UGGGGAAUAUUGCACAAUGGGGAAGACCCUGAUGCAGCGACGCCGCGUGAGUGAAGAAGUAAUUCGUUAUGUAAAGCUCUAUCAGCAGGGAAGAAAUGACGGUACCUGAGUAAGAAGCCCCGGCUGACUACGUGCCAGCAGCCGCGGUAAUACGUAGGGGGCGAAGCGUUAUCCGGAUUUACUGGGUGUAAAGGGAGCGUAGACGGCAUAGCAAGUCUGAAGUGAAAGGCUGGGGCUCAACCCCGGGACUGCUUGGAAUCUGUUAGGCUGGAGUGCAGGAGAGGUAAGUGGAAUUCCUAGUGUAGCGGUGAAAUGCGUAGAUAUUAGGAGGAACACCAGUGGCGAAGGCGGCUUACUGGACUGUAACUGACGUUGAGGCUCGAAAGCGUGGGGAGCAAACAGGAUUAGAUACC
rnacentral:rRNA from 1 species